AUCUUACAGCGCGCUGCCUGUUACGAGUGAUGUUGAGUCAACAAAGAAAGGGAUUUUCAAAAGAAUUGAUGGCUUGAAGGAAAAUGGAAGCUCCGUUUCACGAUCAGCAAAGAAACUGAAAAAAAGAAUAUUCCAUAAUUUACCGAAAACACCGAAUGAUCAUUCUGAUGAGCAAUCACGUCCAUCUUUUUCUUUGGUAGAAAGUGAAAACAAGGAAAGGUUAUUAUCAAACACUUCAACAUCAGACACUCCGAAAGUACAAAGAAAACUCCGUUCGAGGAAAGUCUUGAUUUGAUGUUUGUCCAUAUAAAAACAGCUCGCUUAAGACACGCAUGAAGCAGUUUUUCACCACUACUAUAAACACUAGUUUUGAUGUGCAACCACUACUAUAAACACUAGUUUUGAUGUGCUAUGCUUGAAAGAACUGGUUGACUUCGAUAUGCGCAAUGAUUUAAAGUUUUUAUUCAGAUUAAAUGUUUUUGU